rnacentral:lncRNA from 1 species
CAGUGUGAAACUGUCUUCUUCCUUGGGAACUAAGAAAUAUAGUCAGUAUAGAUAAUGGGAUGGGAUAAGAGAAAAUAAUUUGAAUCAUUUUAAAAAGCAGACUUGUUCUGAAAAAAUCAGUUUUAAAGACCAAUAAGAAUAUUUGAUUACAUUUAUUAUGUUAGUGUCUCUUUGUGCCUUAAUUACUCUCUAAAUUACUGCUUGAAUGUAGGCUAUCUAAGCUCAUCUUAUUUAAUUGCUCAUUAUUUUAUAUUUAGCACUGAAUGAUUGAAAUGUGUUGGAAGUUGAAACAUACCUAAAAUAAGUAACCGAUGAACCUUUUAUUAACAAACUCACUUUAUGUGUAUGUAUACUUUUAAGCUUGCAUCCUCCAGUCUACUGAAAAUUGGCCAGGAGACAGAUAAAACUACAACAAGAAAUAGAGAAUCUGUUUAUUUACUGCUAGAUAUGAUUGUACAAGAAUCUCCAUUCCUUACAAUGGAUCUUUUGGAAUCUUGUUUUCCUUAUGUCUUGCUGAGAAAUGCAUACCAUGCUGUCUACAAACAAAGUGUUACAUCUUCUGCAUAAAAUUACCUACUUAAUCAAGAUAAGCACGCAUUUUUGUUGCCUUGG